GGUAAUGUAGGAUUUUCUAAAUACACCAAAUUUAUGAACUGUCAAUCUUUUUGUUGACAAGUUGAAAAUCAAAAAAAUAAUAGACUUUUAUCAAAAUUUUGGUGAUACACCCACGCAAAAAUGUUGGCCUUUUAUACAUUUUAAGAUUUUGAAAUGAAUGUUCAACGUGAUAAUAAUGUCUAGUGAUAGUGACUCUGAGGAAUUUUACGAUGCUGAGGAUAAUUCACCCAGUAGUGCAAGGAGAAGUAGGAAAAUUUCUAAGGAUAACAAUGUAGCCAAACGAGCAAGUUCUGAACCAAACAUAUCAGGCCUAAAAGAAGAAAAACAACAAGGCCCUAAUCCGCCUGAAUAUGAUACUACAAAACAGACUGAAGAUAGAUCAAAAGACGUUCCAAUUGGGGGAAGGAAAAAGUUUAAGGAACUUCGCCAAAGACUUCAACACGACGAUGAGGAUUAUCAGCCAGGAGGGAAUAUUACACCACCGAAUAGCCAGAAUUCAUCUGUAGAUGGAGUCUUUGCGGGUUCAAGCAGAGCUACUCAUCCUUUCCGUAUUAUAGAACAGGACACCGUUAGUUUGCAGAGUCUUAAUUCCUUAGGCAGAAUUGGUAGGAUACUAGGAGGAGUUCAAGAAAAUGAUCCAGGAAAGAAGACUGCAUCUGUUUCAGCGCUUUCAUCUAGUUCUUUGGAUUCAGAAUCGACGCAAAGUUCUAACAAACAAUAUCCAAGCACUCUAACUUUGUCUCCAGUGUUUUCCACAGGUCCCACGCAAGCUAGUUCCUCCGACAAAGCAUGUCUUCCGCUGCAAGAACCCGACGUGAUCGCUAGCACAAAAUCGUCACAAAAAAAUUUCGAUCCAUCACAUCCUCACGCUACGUCCAGUUUAGAUGCACCAAUCGCUCCACCUAGGCGCAAAAAGAAAAACAAAACGCCAACUGAAACACUGCCGCUCACAAAAUCCACUUCUAGCACUAAUUUCGAGUCCUCUGAACUUGCUAGUCCUGCUACCACUAUAGAAUCACUAACUAGAGAGUUUGAACAUUCUUUAGAUAGAUUGCCCUCGAUAAAGUCGACCAAAUCUGAUAAGAUCUUGGGGAGUGAGUCGCAGAGCUCCACCUUACGGUCCGGCCAUUCUUUGGACAUCAAACAAGCUUUGAAAGGGCAGUUCGUGGUGAAGCCGCAGGAUAAUGAGAGUCUAAGGGCCCGGCAGAGUUCCAAGGAAGACGUAGAUACUGACAGUCAGGAUAAGUUGACCGUUUCCACGGACAAGACGAACGUUAAUAGCAGUCCGAGGGGGUCUGGAAAUCGUAGCAGUGUUGGACAUUACAGUUUAGGACCUCAUAGGGGAACACAUCAAAAUGAUAGCAAACACUCAUCCAAAGAACGCAGAAAAUCCGCCGGUGACGAAAACUUCCUCAAAAACCUAACCACACAUGUCCGCACACACACCGACUCCGGCAAACAACUGUCGGACUUAGAAAUCCUAGAGCAAGUGACAGUACUAAACCUAGACACCGGAGAGAGAGUUCCUUUAAGCGUCGCCGAAGACAAACUGCCACAAUGCAUCAACCCUUUAUCUUUGCAUAUAAUGCGCAUAACAUCAGAGUACGUGAGCAGUUCCAGCAUGGAGAAAGAGAAAGAGUCUGACGAAGAAAGUGUGGGAAAGAAGUCUGAGAUACCUGUAGUAGGAGAAAACGACGUGGAAGUUGGAGGAAUAAGGCAAAAGACGGCCAAAUUGAAACGCUUCCUAGGGUCUACGGUGAAGAAAACAAUGCACAAGGCGAAAUCAAUUGCGCAGGAAGUGUCGCAUGCUCGUCAUAAAGAGGAUGCUAUUGAUAUAGUUGAUAAUGUUCAUCCCGGAGAACAAACGUGUAAAUUAAAGGCUGCCAAUUCACACAAAGGUCCCUACGAAUUUGAAAAAGUUGAACACGUUCAAGAACUAAACGACGAUCAGCACGAGGGGCCUAUUUGGUGCAUGAAAUUUUCUUGUUGCGGGAGGUUGCUGGCGACCGCUGGACAAGACAAGGUUCUUAGGAUAUGGGUAGUUCGGGAUGCCUAUCCGUUCUUCCAGGACAUGAGGACGAAGUAUAAUGCUGAAAAAGUUUCUCCAACACCAUCACAAGAGUCUCUAGUGUCUCACCACUCUGCUGAAAUAUCCAAUUACGCAGCUUACGAAGGGAUGACACCGGAAGAAGCCGCAAAAUUGACAUUCAUGCCGAAACCGUUCUGCACCUACACCGGCCACACUUCCGACCUUUUGGACGUCUCUUGGUCUAAAAAUUACUUCAUACUUUCUUCUUCCAUGGAUAAGACUGUACGACUUUGGCACAUUUCUAGGAAAGAAUGCCUGUGUUGUUUCCAGCAUAUCGAUUUUGUGACUGCGAUAGUGUUUCAUCCGAGAGACGAUAGGUAUUUCCUCAGCGGGUCGUUGGAUGGGAAGUUGAGGUUGUGGAACAUUCCAGAUAAAAAGGUGGCUGUGUGGAACGAAGUAGAAGGCAACCCGAAACUUAUAACGGCAGCGAACUUCUGUCAGAACGGAAAAUUCGCUGUGGUCGGCACUUACGACGGUCGCUGCAUAUUCUACAUCACCGAUCAACUCAAGUACCACACCCAGAUUCACGUCCGUUCCUCUAGAGGCCGCAACGCCGUUGGCCGAAAGAUUAGCGGAAUCGAACCGAUGCCGGGCGAAGACAAAAUCCUAGUAACGUCGAACGACAGUAGAAUUAGACUGUAUGACCUCAGGGACCUCAACGUCUCUUGCAAAUACAAGGGCUACGUGAACAUGAGCAGCCAGAUCAAAGCGAGCUUCAGUCACGACGGGAAAUACAUCGUGAGUGGAUCUGAAAAUAGGGAUAUUUAUAUUUGGAAGACCAAUCACGAUUACUCCAAGUUUUCGUCAGUUAGGCGAGAUAGAAACGAUUUCUGGGAGGCAAUUAAGGCUCAUAACGCUACGGUGACUUGUGCUAUCUUUGCUCCAAAUCCAGAGGCGAUCAUCAAGAUGAUGGAGGAAAACCAAAGAAGGCUAAUCGAGGAGGAAGAGGGUGAACAUAAGAUCGAGGACCCUGUCGUCGAACAGCACACCAAAGGAUGCGGAGGUUACGUUCUAAUCUCGGCCGACUUCAACGGAUGCAUCAAAGUAUUCGUGAACAAAAUGAAGCCUAAACACAGCUCGCUGCCGGUAUCCGCAAUGGCGUAAUCCCACUACAUACUACCAAAUUAUUUUCAUGAAUACCUAAUAGACUAAGAGCCGCAUAGGAAAAAUUUGCUAAUCAUUUUAGGCACCGUAAGAGUCUAUAACUUAUAUAGUAGAACCUAAAAGAAGACGUUUAAGCAUUAUGUUAUCAAUUUUCACACGUGUCGACGAUGGAAAAUCAAACUGUCCGCUUAUGGACCGGAUAAAUAAAUUAAUGGAUACCCCCCAUUGAGACAGCUCAGUGAUGCUCCAUCCAGUGAUGCUCCACCUUCCUUAACCCUGUACAGGAUUUAUAUUAACAUUCAAAAAAUAAGAGUAAUCCAUAUCGAUUUAAUUUUUAAAAGUUUCAAACAAAUAUUAUUUAUAUGCAUUGUUUUGAUUUCAUAAAUUAGGUGACAUUGCUUCUGCAAUGUAGGCCACUCGUUUUGAAAAACAACGGAGUCAGCAAUUAUGUGCUAUUAGUAUUUCACGGCCACAACGGUGUCGUCAAUCAUAACAAACAAUUGGGAUUUAUUUAUAGAUACGUAGAAAGUAAAUAAAGAGAUCAGUCAGUA
rnacentral:misc_RNA from 1 species